AGCAGCCGCGGUAAUUCCAGCUCCAAUAGCGUAUAUUAAAGUUGUUGCAGUUAAAAAGCUCGUAGUUGAAUUUCGGGAUCAAUAUGUUGGUCGUGCCUCGGUACGUACUAGCUUAUUGGUUUCUCCUUUCUGAAGAACCAUGAUGUCAUUUAUUUGGUGUCGUGGGGAAUCAGGACUGUUACUUUGAAAAAAUUAGAGUGUUUAAAGCAGGCUCACGCUUGAAUACAUUAGCAUGGAAUAAUGAAAUAGGACGUUUGAUUCUAUUUUGUUGGUUUCUAGGAUCGACGUAAUGAUUAAUAGGGAUAGUUGGGGGCAUUAGUAUUCAAUUGUCAGAGGUGAAAUUCUUGGAUUUAUUGAAGACUAACUACUGCGAAAGCAUUUGCCAAGGAUGUUUUUCAUUAAUCAAGAACGAAAGUUAGGGGAUCGAAGACGAUCAGAUACCGUCGUAGUCUUAACCAUAAACCUAUGCCGACUAGGGAUCGGAUGAUGUUGAUUUUUU
rnacentral:misc_RNA from 1 species